CCUACGGGAGGCUGCAGUGGGGGAUAUUGCACAAUGGGGGAAACCCUGAUGCAGCGACGCCGCGUGAGUGAAGAAGUAUUUCGGUAUGUAAAGCUCUAUCAGCAGGGAAGAAAAUGACAGUACCUGACCAAGAAGCCCCGGCUAACUACGUGCCAGCAGCCGCGGUAAUACGUAGGGGGCAAGCGUUAUCCGGAUUUACUGGGUGUAAAGGGAGCGUAGACGGUUAUGUAAGUCUGGAGUGAAAGCCCGGGGCCCAACCCCGGGACUGCUUUGGAAACUGUGUAACUGGAGUGCAGGAGGGGCAGGCGGAAUUCCUGGUGUAGCGGUGAAAUGCGUAGAUAUCAGGAGGAACACCGGCGGCGAAGGCGGCCUGCUGGACUGAAACUGACGUUGAGGCUCGAAAGCGUGGGGAGCAAACAGGAUUAGAUACCCUAGUAGUC
rnacentral:rRNA from 1 species